rnacentral:rRNA from 1 species
UACGUAGGGGGCUAGCGUUGUCCGGAAUCAUUGGGCGUAAAGAGCGUGUAGGCGGCCCGGUAAGUCCGCUGUAAAAGUCAAAGGCUCAACCUUUGAAUGUCAGUGGAUACUGCCGGGCUAGAGUCCGGAAGAGGCGAGUGGAAUUCCUGGUGUAGCGGUGGAAUGCGCAGAUAUCAGGAGGAACACCAACGGCGAAGGCAGCUCGCUAGGACGGUACUGACGCUGAGACGCGAAAGCGUGGGGAGCGAACAGG